rnacentral:lncRNA from 1 species
CCACAAGCCAUGAGUGACACCUAACAAUAUAUUAUAGCUACCCAAGCUAAAUAGAAUUCAUUGGAGAACCUAUUUAGUUGUAAUUGCAAUGCGGACAUAAUGCGUACCAAUCUUUGCGGAUUACCAUUGUCCAAUCAAUGAUCCUAUGACUAUGAACAUUUUAGAUGUGAUAUAUUAUAAUGGAAAGGUUUUGUUAGAUUGCUU